rnacentral:hammerhead_ribozyme from 1 species
AUUCAGUUGACGAGUCCCAAAUAGGACGAAACGUCCUUCCUAAAU